rnacentral:rRNA from 1 species
GUGGGGAAUUUUGGACAAUGGGCGCAAGCCUGAUCCAGCAAUGCCGCGUGCAGGAAGAAGGCCUUCGGGUUGUAAACUGCUUUUGUACGGAACGAAACGGUCCUGGUUAAUACCUGGGGCUAAUGAUGGUACCGUAAGAAUAAGCACCGGCUAACUACGUGCCAGCAGCCGCGGUAAUACGUAGGGUGCGAGCGUUAAUCGGAAUUACUGGGCGUAAAGCGUGCGCAGGCGGUGCUGUAAGACAGGCGUGAAAUCCCCGGGCUCAACCUGGGAAUUGCGCUUGUGACUGCAGUGCUGGAGUACGGCAGAGUGGGAUGGAAUUCAGCGUGUAGCAGUGAAAUGCGUAGAUAUGCGGAGGAACACCGAUGGCGAAGGCAGUCCCCUGGGCCUGUACUGACGCUCAUGCACGAAAGCGUGGGGAGCAAACAGGAUUAGAAACCCUAGUAGUCC